UGCCAAAUCGCUGCGUGCAUCCUCCUCUGCUCGUCCCCGCACGUCUCUCCCCCAAUCCCUCACCUCGCAGCAUCUCCACCCCUCUGCCUCCACCGCGGUCCUCUCUGGAACAGCCGGCACGGGCGGCGGGCGGCGUGGCCGACCUCCGGCAGGGGCUGCCGGCGCGGGCAAGGGGCGGCGCGGCCGGUCGGGCGACCUCCACAGGGGCCAGUGCGGCAGGGCGGCGCGGGCGACCUUCGCCAGGGGCCAGGCGAAAGAGCCCCGGCAGGGCGUCGCGAGGACCUCCAUUACCCCGGCGAGGAAGCUGCGGUCGUGGAGGAGCGUCCCAAUCCCUUCGUCCAACCUUCUUCAACCUCCUCUCUCAAGGAUACCGGCUAGAAGCACAACACCAUGCCCGUCCCGUCCUCUUCUUCGUUGGUUGGAAACCUACAGGUUCCUCGUUGGAGACCUACAGGUUAUCAGAACUAACUAUUGCAAUUAUUAAGCCACUCUCAUGUAAUGACGCAGUUCUUCUUAUGGUGGCUAGGAGAUGGCUCAAGGGAACAAGAUCGAUGCCGUCGUCCUCAGCGCGGUGGAGCGUGGUGCCCCCGUUGUCCUCGUCCCUCCAUGAGCAGCCCCAAGGAUCUUCUCUCUUUUGUCAUCUCUCUUUCUUUCCCUCUAUUAAUCCCCACAAUCCUAAAAAUUAUCUUAGCAGAAUAUAUUUUAUCUAUGCUCAGAAGGUAUUUGACAUAAUUCAUGCAUGGGAAGAUUAAUCUGUUCCAUAUCUUUCUCCACUGAUUACUCAACAAUUUCGUUCUUCCCUGAAUAAUUAGCCUCUGCUAUGCCUGUUUGUACCUACGUAUGGAGCGUAUCAGCUGUUUUCUUGGUUUAUAUAGUUUAUGUUUGGCCAAUUUAAUUGUGUUUCAUCUAUUACUUAAUGUUUGCAUAAAUCAUUACGAUUUCAGGUUCGAUUUAAUGGCCGUUUUUCCAUGGGAGUAAAUGGGUAAAUCAAGCCCGGGUCGCACGGCAAGCAGAUUCCUUUACGGAGGUAAUCUACUAGGGCCUCUGUUCCCAGUUUUAAAGUUGAAGUAUUGCAGCCAUCUGCAUCGUAAAACAAUAUUUUACUUGAGAAUUUGUAGGUCUGCAAAGUCAAAUCAAAUGUAGCCAUGGCCAUGCUGUCAGAUUGUAGAAUUUUAUUUGAGAAUUUGUGCUAUCUAUUUUGGCCCUGUAGUGUUAGCUGUUCAUCAUCUAUACAGAAAACGAGCAAAUUAUGUUACCCCAUUUACAGUUACAGGGAAUUUAAUUUUUAUUUGUUACUGUAUUUUUUUGCAUGUAUUCUAUGCAUUUGUUGAAGGAUACGUCGUGUACGUUUGUGGAUUUUCUCAACUAUUUUCUCUUCUUCUCAUAUUUUGCUUCCCACGAAAUAACAAUGUCUUCUUAUCAAUAUGGUUGUUACAGAUUGGUUUUUAUUGUGUUGGGAUGAUAGCCUGUUUGACUUCCUCUCGCGAAUGUAUUCUUUCAAUCUAACUGAACAUUGGAGAUGUGUCCACUGAGAGUGGAGCACACACCAAGAUGUAUUUAUUUUCAACGUUUGAGUUCCAAAGUUGGACAUACUUUCAAGGACAGCUAAUUCUCUAAUCCUGCUUUGCUUGUCUGCCUAUUGAACAAAUUAUAGUUAUAGACCAGUUCUACGAAUCCAUUUUUUUAUCUUGGGAAUGCCCACUUUUCUGUACAGGUCAUGGUUUGAUAGAUGAAAUUGUGUUGUUGCAAUACCCACUUUUCUGUACAGGUCGUGGUUCAUUAUGUAGGUGGUUUCAUGUUCUCUUUUCAGGCUUGCGUAGUUACUGACUUUUUUUUUGCGAGUGACGUAGUUACUGACUUGAUCCGAUGUUUUCUCCAUUCCAUGUUAUCUACGCGUGCUAUUAACUUAUUCUUUUUUGGGCAACCAUGUUAUGCCUGUAUUCACAGACCUAACAGAGGUUUAUUGUCCUUUGGCUUCUUGUACUGCAUUAUUUUCUUGUGGUUGGCACAUUUUCCAUCAAUUAUUCAUGCCUGGAUAAUGAUAGAACUUAAUUUAUUAUGCUUUUGUCUACUUAGAUUAGGUGGACCAAUAUUUUUUCAAUUCCAUGGCACCAGUUUCAUGGAGGAUUUCAAGGAGAAGGUAAGAGUCAAGAGAGAGAAGAAAUAAUUUUGGUGUAACAAAAUAUGCGCAAAAGAAAUAUCAAUGCUUUAUGUUUCAAGGUUGUUUUGGUUUAAGCACAAGCUAACGGAUUUGCUACUUGCAAGGUUGUUUGUUAUUUUACUCUUGGACAAUGCAAGCCGGUUAGGUGAUAGUUAUCACUGACUCAUGACUUUACAAUCAGCCGUAAUGUUUUAAAUUUGUGUUUUCUAAAUAGAAAGAUAUAUUAAGAAAAUUUAUCUAUAUCAUCUGGUUGCUUCAUUUUUGGGCUUCUGAAUUGGCAAUACUUGCCUCAGCUUAUAAUCCAGUAGCACUAAUUUUUUUGAAUCCUUUGACCCGGUAUAUUGUUUCUACUUAACUAGGAUGUUCCCAGAGCUCUUCGUAGUUUUGUAGAAAUAUAAGCAUGCUUUUCCAAAGCUUCAGUUGCAAAAAAAGGCUGCGGAAAUCUCCAAGAAUCAAACAUAUGACCAACAUAAAACUCAUGAUUGCGAGGUGGUUUGUUAGUGGCAGUGAUCAUGACAGUUCUCCGGUGUGACUCAUCUGUCAGAAAAAUUUGGGCAACAAAGUAGUGUCUCUCAAGCAAGCAUGAUAUAGAAUAUAUGUUGGUAAUAUCUCUCUGCCCUUUAGCAUUGUAUCUUAAUGCUUCCAAUGUCAUGUGCCUGUCCUUCCGAUGUUAUUUUAGACCAACAUGGUAUUUUUGUCAUGUUUCUAUCUGUACGAAUUGAGCAAAUUUCAUGAGUAUUUGUAGCUAUAUAUGUAGCUGAUCGUUUUCCCAUUCUCCGGUCAGUGGAGUUGUUCCUGGGAAAACUCUCAGUCUGUGUUUCUCAUCAGUUUAGAGUGGCAUAGGCUGGACUUUCAUUUCGGUGAAGUCUAUUUCAGGGGAGUAUGCAGACUGGUGUGGUGAGGAGCCCCGGUUACAGAGCAUCAGCAAUGAGGCCACAAAGUUCUAUACAUAAUUAAAAUACUGAUGAUAGGAUACACUACCUACUCCUGUAGUCUUACUGGUUGAGUGGUUCUACUACGUUCAUUAAAUAACUAGCUCAUUCUUCAGUUAUGCUAAAUGCAAAUACAUAGUUCUUUUGGAGUUGAUGAAGGGACUUUAUGGAUCUGAUCAAUUCCUGUAGUUAGAGGGCAUGAUGUAUAUUCUCUAACAUUUUGACCAACAUCAUAGCUUUCAUUCCUUUUCUUGCUUCAUUCUGUCUUCUGGUGUGUCCCAACUUUAAAGACAUGUUCAUUCAUCUUCCAUUUAGAGUUGUUCCUUUUUCAGCUUCUAAUCAAUGCACAUAAAUACUACUUUGUUUCGUUUUUGUGCUACAACCGAAUUAAUGGUUGAUUUCACUGUUUAUACUUCUGGUCAUUUCCAUAUAUAUAAAUGUCGCUGACCUAGGUAUAAGCAUCAAGUGUUACAGCAUGGUUGACCUCUGUAUUUGUUUUCUUUGAAGUGUCACACAUCUCAUUGCUUGUAUUAUCAUGUAAGAAAGUGAGAUGUAUUCACAGUUAAAUUUGAGCACUAUUUACCCUCAGUACAGAACUAUAUUAUUUCUUACAAGUGUUGAUCUGAUUUUGUUCUUGGUUGUGUGCCAUAUGAUUCUAUAUUUUUUUGUCCAGGUGUUGGUUGAAUUAUUCAAAUUUACUAUGCAGCUUCUGGAGUUUGCCACUCUAAUCUCCUUGUCGUGAAAGCUGAUGGGAGAUAAGUGGACAACAAGAGGGUGCUUGUUGAUGUAGAGCGAGGUAGAACUGUUCCAAAUUGGCAUCUUAGGAUAUCGGUUGGUGGUCUUGGAUCAAUUAGGAUUGGUGGUGAAGAUGCUGCCCGGAAGCAUUCUUCUAGGUACAUUAAACAAUGAACUGAACUUUUGCAAGAUGUACUGACAUCAAGCCCAGUGGUCAAAGUCUGACAAAUUAAGUGCUGCGCUAGGCAAUUUUGGUGCGCUAGCUAUCAUGUUAUAUGCAUGAAUUAUGCCUAAUCAUAUGUAGGCCAAGAUAUAGCGGAGGUGUCAGAAAGUUCAGGUGAGUUCCAAAUACUCCAUAACCUCUGAUUUCCUAGCUAUUGGUGCAUUAUUCAUGAUUAUUUUAAGAAAGAACACCUCCCUUAAAUUAAAUGGUAAGAAAGGCCACAGGACUACGAUGUAAUUAAGUAACAAAACUGAAAUCUGCUACCUGAUGUUCUGCUUGGGUAUAGGAUUCAGUUUGUAAUUGCGGAAACCUUCCAAGUUGACACUUAUGAGUUGUGGUCUGCAGACUUUCUGCUUAAUGUAUCUUCACCAUAAUAUCUGUACAAUAAGCAUGCUACAUUUUAUAUUAACUUCGUGACCAAUGCUGCCAAUCUUGACCGACCAUUCUUAUACUUGAUGAUGUGCUUAGCUUAGCUAAUUAGAUACUUAUCAGAUAUUAUUUCAAGAAUGACUAUGAAACUUUUAGCAGAUACUUCUAUUUUUUAUUACGGCUAUAGUAUAUGUCUAAGAGAUAAGUGGUGCGGGAAGUCGCUGUUGCAGUAUAUAGAAAAAAGUGAUCUUCCUUUACUUCAUGAUCAGGUAUUCUUUCCCA